GCCUGGGUGGCUCAGUCUGCUGAGCGUACGACUUCAGCUCAGGUCAUGAUCUCGCAGUUCGUGGGUUCGAGCCCCGCAUCAGGCU
rnacentral:tRNA from 1 species